rnacentral:rRNA from 1 species
GUAGGUGGCAAGCGUUGUCCGGAAUUAUUGGGGCGUAAAGCGCGCGCAGGCGGUUCUUUAAGUCUGAUGUGAAAGCCCACGGGCUCAACCGUGGAGGGUCAUUGGAAACUGGAGAACUUGAGUACAGAAGAGGAAAGCGGAAUUCCACGUGUAGCGGUGAAAUGCGUAGAGAUGUGGAGGAACACCAGUGGCGAAGGCGGCUUUCUGGUCUGUAACUGACGCUGAGGCGCGAAAGCGUGGGGAGCAAACAGGAUUAGAUGCCCUGGUAGUCCACGCCGUAAACGAUGAGUGCUAAGUGUUAGGGGGUUUCCGCCCCUUAGUGCUGCAGCUAACGCAUUAAGCACUCCGCCUGGGGAGUACGGCCGCAAGGCUG